UUCCCGGUGAAUGAUCCAGAAACCAAAGACUUCUGAAGGCUUGCUGAUGGGGUUUAGCAAUAUAACCAGGCGUUUCUUUUCUCCUCUCUCGACGACCCACUUGUUCUUAACCAUUCUCAACGCAUUCCUAUUAUUAUAGAGCCACGAAUUGGGGAUUGGUUUCUCAUCCUAUUCUUAUUCAUAGUUUCGCUUCGCUACCUCUUGGAAGAUCCAUUUUGUUGUGUUUUUAUUCGGGUUUUAGAAAAUGGUCGAACGGAAGCUCUUUAAAACGAAGUUAUG
rnacentral:misc_RNA from 1 species